GAUGAACGCUGGCGGCGUGCUUAACACAUGCAAGUCGAACGGAAAGGCCCUGCUUUUGUGGGGUGCUCGAGUGGCGAACGGGUGAGUAACACGUGAGUAACCUGCCCUUGACUUUGUGAUAACUUCAGGAAACUGGGGCUCAUACCGGAUAGGAGCUCCUGCUGCAUGGUGGGGGUUGGAAAGUGUCGGCGGUUGGGGAUGUACUCGCGGCUUAUCAGCUUGUUGGUGGGGUAGUGGCUUACCAAGGCUUUGACGGGUAGCCGGCCUGAGAGGGUGACCGGCCACAUUGGGACUGCGAUACGGACCAGACUCCUACGGGAGGCAGCAGUGGGGAAUAUUGCACAAUGGGCGGACGCCUGAUGCAGCAACGCCGCGUGCGGGAUGACGGCCUUCGGGUUGUAAACCGCUUUCGACUGUGACGAAGCGUGAGUGACGGUAAUGGGUAAAGAAGCACCGGCUAACUACGUG
rnacentral:rRNA from 1 species